GCGUGGAUGAGGCAUGCAAGUCGAACGACUGCUAGUUUGGUAGUAAUACCGAGCUAGCGAAAGUGGCGAAAGGGGCAGUAAUGCAUGGAUAACCUACCUUGGGGUUGGGCAUAGCCGUUCUAACGAGCGGGUAAUUCCCAGAGAUUCAGCGGAGGGGCAUCCCUCUGCUGGGAAAGAAUUUCGCCUCGAGAGGGGUCCAUGUGCUAUUAGCUAGUUGGUAGGGUAACGGCCUACCAAGGCUAAGAUGGCUAGCGGGUGUGAGAGCACGACCCGCGCCACUGGCACUGAGACACUGGCCAGACACCUACGGGUGGCUGCAGUCGAGGAUCUUCGUCAAUGGGCGCAAGCCUGAACGAGCGACGCCGCGUGCGCGAUGAAGGCCUUCGGGUUGUAAAGCGCGAAAGUGGAGAGAAAGGGAAACUUGAUCAAUCCACAGUAAGGACGGGCUAAGUUCGUGCCAGCAGCCGCGGUAAGACGAACUGUCCUAACGUUGUUCGGAAUCACUGGGCUUAAAGGGCGCGUAGGCGGUCCGACAAGUCAGGGGUGAAAUCCUGCAGCUUAACUGCAGAAGUGCCUCUGAUACUGUCGGUCUGGAGGGAGAUAGGGGUGUGCGGAACUUCCAGUGGAGCGGUGAAAUGCGUUGAUAUUGGAAGGAACGCCGGAGGCGAAAGCGGCGCACUGGAUCUCUUCUGACGCUGAGGCGCGAAAGCUAGGGGAGC
rnacentral:rRNA from 1 species